CAAACGGCCCUUUUCAGGGCCAACAAUUAUAACACGUUUAUAAAGU
rfam:Pediculus humanus corporis strain TSDA 1103172085537, whole genome shotgun sequence.